rnacentral:lncRNA from 1 species
UGUAUAUGUUACAGGGAAUUUGUGAAAUCAGUGAUUUUGUAAAAUCACUGAAAUUUCAGGGAAUUUGUAAAAUCACUGAACUGAUUAGUGAUUUUAUAAAAUCCCUGAUUUUGACUAGUGAUUUUACAAAAUCCCUGAAAUAAUUAAGAUCUUUUUUACAGAUUCACUGAUUAAAUUCAGGGAAUUUGUAAAAUACAUUCAUUCAUUUUUAUUAAGAAUUUCUGUGAAAAAAGACUACAACAGUAACACUCAAUAAGUUUGAGGUUAAUUUAGUCUUUAUUUUAAUAUUAAGUGAGCGGUUUUCAUGCACAAAACAACUGACAUACUGUAGAACAAUGGCUCAGGCACAAAUGUCUUGAAAUCAAGAGCAAACAUACACACUAAAGUUACUUCAAAUAAUUGAGGUAAAAUUAAAGUGCAACAUAUGGAACCAGGGAAAAUAUGAUAAACAUUUUGGAAUAUUUUGUCAAUGAGCCACAGAAAGAAGACAAAACAAGCUCUUAUCACUACCGUGUUUGAAAGAAAGUUACUGUUUAUUAUAGUUUUUCUGUAUAAUUACUGUAGAAAAUAAAACCAAUUAUAUCAAUUUUUUUAAAUCAAAUAUAAAAAAAAAUCUGAACAUUAGGUUGAUUGCUGUCAUUAGAGAAGAAAAACACAUAUGUAAGGUAUAAGAAAUUGAGUGGGUUAGGGUAUGUGAUCCAGUGGCAAAUAUUACAUGCAUAUCAGAUCAAGAGCAUCUUAUUGCAUGCAAAUUGAUAAAAAAAGCAAAUACGUGUUGUAUUAUUAAUUUGCAGCCUACAAAAUAACAUUUAUAUUCACAAAAUAAUAAUAAAAAAAAGAC